rnacentral:misc_RNA from 1 species
AUGGGUCAUUUCCAUCUUCGUUAUGUUCCAUCUGGGAUGAAUAAGAGUGGUCUUUGUUAUAUGUGGAACAUUGUUGUUGGAACUUCGAACUUGGCCUCUUUUCUGAUGUCCAUGCUGGGUUCAUCCACCUCAUCAUCAAUCUCGCGAGCAUUAUAUUCUUAGGAUUUAACCUGAAGCGAGUCUUAAAUUCUGUGAGCACGUAAGCCUACAGCCAGAUGUUCUGAACAAUGUCUAUAUAGUUUCGGUUCUUUGCUCUUGUUGCACAGUCAGGGUUAGGAUUACCUACAUUCUUUCUGCCUUUUUUUGAUACAAUGGUGACUGCACUUUUUGUUAGUUAGCUCCUCUGGUGCUCAAUUGGAUAUUACUUAGGGCUACACUUUCUGCACUUCUAAGCAACUGGAAAUUUUAAACUAAUAAGGUCCUGCUCCUGCACAUUUAUUUUCUUAU